AAAUUUAAACCUAUUUAGUUUAGAAAAACGUCGCCUGAGAGGGGAUAUAACAUUAUACAAAUAUAUUCGGGGCCAAUACAAACCAUUGUGUGGAAAUCUAUUCACAAACCGGACUUUACAUAGGACACGAGGCCAUGCGUUUAGACUGGAAGAAAGAAGAUUUCGCCUAAGGCAAAGGAAAGGUUUUUUUACUGUAAGAACAAUCAGGAUGUGGAAUUCUCUGCCUGAGGAAGUGGUUUUAUCAGAGUCCAUACAGAUGUUCAAAC